GAUUUCUGGCUUGAAACAUUUAGCCGGCCACGGUUUCGUGUGUUAGUGCUUGAUGUUCUGGCCAUCCUUCCAAUUGCUAUUCAUCUUUCUUCAUUGAUGGGUGAGUGGUAUUGGAUCUUUUACUUUGAAAAAAUUAGAGUGUUUAAAGCAGGCUUACGCCUUGAAUACAUUAGCAUGGAAUAAUAAUAUAGGACUUGAGUCUUAUUUUGUUGGUUUCUAAGAUUUAAGUAAUGAUUGAUAGGGAUAGUUGGGGGUGCUAGUAUUCAGCGGCCAGAGGUGAAAUUCUUUGAUUCGCUGAAGACUAACUUAUGCGAAAGCAUU
rnacentral:rRNA from 1 species